rnacentral:rRNA from 1 species
AUUGAACGCUGGCGGCAUGCCUUACACAUGCAAGUCGAACGGCAGCGGGGGCUUCGGUCCGCCGGCGAGUGGCGAACGGGUGAGUAAUAUAUCGGAACGUACCUUUCAGUGGGGGAUAACGUAGCGAAAGUUACGCUAAUACCGCAUAUUCUGUGAGCAGGAAAGCAGGGGAUCUUCGGACCUUGCGCUGCUUGAGCGGCCGAUAUCAGAUUAGCUAGUUGGUGAGGUAAAGGCUCACCAAGGCGACGAUCUGUAGCGGGUGUGAGAGGAUGGUACAGCACACUGGAACUGAGACGCGGUCCAGACUCCUACGGGAGGCAGCAGUGGGGAAUUUUAGACAAUGGGGGCAACCCUGAUCCAGCCAUGCCGCGUGAGUGAAGAAGGCCUUCGGGUUGUAAAGCUCUUUCAGCCGGGAAGAAAUCGCAUAGGUUAAUACCCUGUGUGGAUGACGGUACCGGAAUAAGAAGCACCGGCUAACUACGUGCCAGCCGCCGCGGUAACAC